rnacentral:tRNA from 1 species
CGAGGUGUAGCGCAGUUUGGUAGCGCACAUGGUUUGGGACCAUGGGGCCGGGGGUUCGAGUACCUUCACCUCGACCA